rnacentral:rRNA from 1 species
AUUUUAGGUGGAGAGAUCUGGAACGACUCCUCACCGAAAGCUUUUGCGCACGAGGAUGGGGCUGCGGCCGAUUAGGUUGUAGGUAGUGUAACGGACCACCUAGCCUUCGAUCGGUACGGGACGUGGGAGCGUGAGCCCGGAGACGGGUACUGAGACAAGGACCUGGGCCCUAAGGGGCGCAGCAUUCGCGAAAACUUCCCAAUGCGCGCAAGCGUGAGGGGGGAACCCCAAGUGCCAGCACAAUGUGUUGGCUUUUCUGGAGUGUGAAAAGCUCCAGGAAUAAGGGCUGGGUAAGACCGGUGCCAGCCGCCGCGGUAACACCGGCAGCCCAAGUGAUGUCCGGUUUUAUUGGGCUUAAAGCGUUCGUAGCCGGUUUGUUAAGUCCCCGGUCAAAUCCGACGGCUCAACCGUCGGUUAUCUGGGGAUACUGGCAGGCUUGAGGCCGGGAGAGGUCAGAGGUACUUCUGGGGUAGGGGUAAAAUCCGAUAAUCCUGGAGGGACCACCAGUGGCGAAGGCGUCUGACUGGAACGGGCCUGACGGUGAGGGACGAAACCCUGGGGAGCGAUCCGGAUUAGAUACCCGGGUAGUCCAGGGCGUAAACGAUGUGGGCUGGGUGUGGGCCAAUCAGAAGGAUUGGUCUGUGCCGAAG